rnacentral:lncRNA from 1 species
UGCAAGACUUCAUACACAAACUGCAGAUAUGUUACAUGCGCUGUUUACACAUACACACACAUACAAAAUAUAUGCGUGCAUUGUAUGCUCGCUAGAACAUACUAUGGUACUUCUGUGUACAAUCAAGAAAAAUCACACAUUGAGCACUAGGUGGAUAGUUACUUCAGCUUAGAACAUAAUGAAGCAUAGCUGCACAAAUCAUGGCUACUGAAGGUAUUCAAAUUGUGUGAAUGCAUUUGCACAAGUGCACUGGUGGGACAAUUGAUUGCCUUCUGCACGCUGACACAAUAAUCAAUCAAUCAAUCAAUCAAUCAAUCAAUCAAUCAAUCAAUCAAUCAAUUUUAUUAUUAAAUUUAAAUAUAUUUUUAUUUGCCCUUGUGUGAAAUACUAAUUGAAACUUAGAAACAGUUUCUCAAUUGGCUGCACAAAGAAGGCAAAGAAAACAAAAUCUAAGUGAUUCAGUGCAUCAGUGAUGGUCUAACACAGGCAAAAAUUCAAUUUUCACAUUUCCUGCUCUCUGCAAAGGGAACAGAGAAAGUGUUCUAUUGAUAGCUGAAGGGGCCACAGGGUUGCUUGAGGCUGAUAUGCUAUUUGGACACAAGGAUUAUACCAAAUGGCAUAUCACUCCUCCUCCACAACCCCAUGACCCUAUUUAGACCAUAUCAGCCUGCACCAAAACUCACUCUUAUUUUGACCAUAAANNNNNNNNNNNNNNNNNCAGUAUUUUAAUAUUUUCAUUCUUGUAGGAAUUCUUGCAUUUUGAUAGCAAACAAGUAACGCAUGAAAGUAAUUCUUUACUUGCUGUUGUGACAAGUUUGCCAUCUUCAAGAAUAAAGCUGCUCAGAUCUGCCACAAUGUGGAUGCCAUGUGAUGGAAGUGGUCAUUGCACCUACUUGUUCAGUUCUGUUGGCUCAGCAGAUAAACUCUGCUGGGAAGAAGGAGAAGCAGAAGAAGUGGUCCCUCUCUGCGAAAUCCUAUUCCACUGUGAAACACUGAGCUGUUUGGACAAGGAGUUUGGCCUGUAUAAUUUGUGCUGUCGAAAAACCCUCCCUUGCCACCAGGUGCUGAGAAAUCCCAUUACAAAUGCUAAAAUGCUGUAGAUCUUGUCUUUACUAACCAUGACAUAAACCUGAUAGCAAGAAAGGAGAGAGAUCACUCAGGAAAUCCAGGGUGGAUUAAACUGAACAAGGCAAAAAUGAAGGUUGAAAAGCAAAGGGUGACUGUACAGUUCUUAGAAGGCGUGCAUUCUGAAACUGAGCAAUGUCUUUAUUCUACUUUAAUAGGAUAAGAGAUCACUGAAGAACUUUCUCAUAACUUUGUCAUCCAGAAUUGUUUGUAUCCUAAACAACAGUUAGCUACAUGACUAGCUAGUGGAGAACUCAGGGUCAUGCUAUAGGAAACUGUGUAGAUGAGGGGUGGUGAACACGAGGCCCUGCUGUAGUUUAGGGACUGCAACAUCCAUUGUUCCUCAUCAUUGCCUAGGUUGUCUAGAACUCAUGAGAGUUGACGGGACUGUUCUGAAGGAUCAUGCAUUCCUCCUCCCUGGGUUAACUCAUGGAAUAGGUAAAGGAGGUGCCUCCCCCUAAUGAUGGUGGCCCCAUCAUAGUCACAAGUCAUGUAUGCCUCAUUCCAAUACAGGCAAAUCAACAGAGAUGGGGCAAGUAAGUUUUUUUGAGCUGCAAUUCCCAGAAUAUAUCAGCUGAUAACUAACUGAAGGCAGCUCUUGAAAUUUGGAGAUUUCCUGAAAUCUUGGGCUGAGGCUCUUUCCUGCCCUUGAGCCCACCACCAGCAGCAAUGAAUUUGCUUCAU